CCAAUAGCGUAUAUUAAAGUUGUUGCAGUUAAAAAGCUCGUAGUUGAACUUCGGGGUCUACCCAUUGGUCAGGCUUAAUUGUCUGCACUGGUGAGAUGGAUCUCUACCUUCUGAGGAACUUUCAUGCCAUUUAUUUGGUGUGAUGGGAAAUCAGGACUGUUACUUUGAAAAAAUUAGAGUGUUUAAAGCAGACUAUCGUCUGAAUACAUUAGCAUGGAAUAAUGAAAUAGGACGGACUGAUUCUAUUUCGUUGGUUUCUAGGAUCACCGUAAUGAUUAAUAGGGAGAGUUGGGGGCAUUAGUAUGCAAUUGUCAGAGGUGAAAUUCUUGGAUUUAUUGAAGACUAACUGCUGCGAAAGCAUUUGCCAAGGAUGUUUUCAUUAAUCAAGAACGAAAGUUAGGGGAUCGAAGAAGAUCAGAUACCGUCGUAGUCUUAACCAUAAGCUAUGCCGACUAGGGAUCGGACGAAGUUAAUUUUAUAAUGACGCGUUCGGCACCUUACG
rnacentral:rRNA from 1 species